rnacentral:rRNA from 1 species
GACGAACGCUGGCGGCGUGCUUAACACAUGCAAGUCGAACGAAAAUACCAAGCUUGCUUGGUUGAUUAGUGGCGAACGGGUGAGUAACACGUGAGUAACCUGCCCCUUACUUUCCUGGAUAACUGCUCGAAAGGGUAGCUAAUACGGGAUAUUCUGACCAGCCUGCAUGGGUUGGUUUGGAAAGGUUGUUUUUCUGGUAAGGGAUGGGCUCGCGGCCUAUCAGCUUGUUGGUGGGGUGAUGGCCUACCAAGGCUUUGACGGGUAGCCGGCCUGAGAGGGUGGACGGUCACACUGGGACUGAGAUACGGCCCAGACUCCUACGGGAGGAAGCAGUGGGGAAUAUUGCACAAUGGGCGCAAGCCUGAUGCAGCGACGCCGCGUGAGGGAUGAAGGCCUUCGGGGUGUAAACCUCUUUCGUCAGGGAACAAGGCACUGCUUUUUUGGUGGUGUUGAGGGUACCUGGAUAAGAAGCGCCGGCUAACUACGUG